rnacentral:rRNA from 1 species
AGCGAACGCUGGCGGCAGGCCUAACACAUGCAAGUCGAACGAACCCUUCGGGGUUAGUGGCGGACGGGUGAGUAACACGUGGGAACGUGCCUUUAGGUUCGGAAUAACUCAGGGAAACUUGUGCUAAUACCGAAUGUGCCCUUCGGGGGAAAGAUUUAUCGCCUUUAGAGCGGCCCGCGUCUGAUUAGCUAGUUGGUGAGGUAAAGGCUCACCAAGGCGACGAUCAAUAGCUGGUCUGAGAGGAUGAUCAGCCACAUUGGGACUGAGACACGGCCCAAACUCCUACGGGAGGCAGCAGUGGGGAACUUUGCGCAAUGGGCGAAAGCCUGACGCAGCCAUGCCGCGUGAAUGAUGAAGGUCUUAGGAUUGUAAAAUUCUUUCACCGGGGACGAUAAUGACGGUACCCGGAGAAGAAGCCCCGGCUAACUUCGUGCCAGCAGCCGCCGUAAAAC